GUUGGGAAGCGGUCUACGGUGGGGUGCGCGGUUCCCGGAGAGAGGGUGUGGGUUCCGGGGGACUGUGAGGAUGAUGGUGGAUUCGAGCGCGGCACCGGAGACUCCGGCGGCGGUGGUGAAUGUGGCGGCGGCGAAGGAUCGGGUGGAGGAUAGCGGGUAUGCGAGUGGGGGCUGGAAAAGUGAGGAUGGAAGAUUAAGUUGUGGAUUUUCGAGCUUCAGAGGGAAAAGAGCAAGCAUGGA
rnacentral:misc_RNA from 1 species